GGUUAAGCGACUAAGCGUACACGGUGGAUGCCUAGGCAGUCAGAGGCGAUGAAGGACGUGCUAAUCUGCGAUAAGCGUCGGUAAGGUGAUAUGAACCGUUAUAACCGACGAUUUCCGAAUGGGGAAACCCAGUGCAAUCCGUUGCACUAUCGUUAAGUGAAUACAUAGCUUAACGAAGCGAACCAGGGGAACUGAAACAUCUAAGUACCCUGAGGAAAAGAAAUCAACCGAGAUUCCCCCAGUAGCGGCGAGCGAACGGGGAACAGCCCAGAACCUGAAUCAGUUUGUGUGUUAGUGGAAGCGUCUGGAAAGUCGCAGGGUACAGGGUGAUACUCCCGUACACAAAAAUGCAUAUUCUGUGAGUUCGAAGAGUAGGGCGGGACACGUGGUAUCCUGUCUGAAUAUGGGGGGACCAUCCUCCAAGGCUAAAUACUCCUGACUGACCGAUAGUGAACCAGUACCGUGAGGGAAAGGCGAAAAGAACCCCGGCGAGGGGAGUGAAACAGAACCUGAAACCGUGUACGUACAAGCAGUGGGAGCCUUGAUUUAUCAGGGUGACUGCGUACCUUUUGUAUAAUGGGUCAGCGACUUAUAUUCUGUAGCAAGGUUAACCGUAUAGGGGAGCCGAAGGGAAACCGAGUCUUAACUGGGCGUUAAGUUGCAGGGUAUAGACCCGAAACCCGGUGAUCUAGCCAUGGGCAGGUUGAAGGUUGGGUAACACUAACUGGAGGACCGAACCGACUAAUGUUGAAAAAUUAGCGGAUGACUUGUGGCUGGGGGUGAAAGGCCAAUCAAACCGGGAGAUAGCUGGUUCUCCCCGAAAGCUAUUUAGGUAGCGCCUCGUGAACUCAUCUUCGGGGGUAGAGCACUGUUUCGGCUAGGGGGCCAUCCCGGCUUACCAACCCGAUGCAAACUACGAAUACCGAAGAAUGUUAUCACGGGAGACACACGGCGGGUGCUAACGUCCGUCGUGAAGAGGGAAACAACCCAGACCGCCAGCUAAGGUCCCAAAGUCACAGUUAAGUGGGAAACGAUGUGGGAAGGCACAGACAGCCAGGAUGUUGGCUUAGAAGCAGCCAUCAUUUAAAGAAAGCGUAAUAGCUCACUGGUCGAGUCGGCCUGCGCGGAAGAUGUAACGGGGCUAAACUGUGCACCGAAGCUGCGGCAGCGACACUCAGGUGUUGUUGGGUAGGGGAGCGUUCUGUAAGCCGUCGAAGGUGUCCUGUGAGGGAUGCUGGAGGUAUCAGAAGUGCGAAUGCUGACAUAAGUAACGAUAAAGCGGGUGAAAAGCCCGCUCGCCGGAAGACCAAGGGUUCCUGUCCAACGUUAAUCGGGGCAGGGUGAGUCGACCCCUAAGGCGAGGCCGAAAGGCGUAGUCGAUGGGAAACAGGUUAAUAUUCCUGUACUCGGUGUUACUGCGAAGGGGGGACGGAGAAGGCUAUGUUAGCCGGGCGACGGUUGUCCCGGUUUAAGCAUGUAGGCGGAGCGUUUAGGUAAAUCCGGACGCUU
rnacentral:rRNA from 1 species